AUUUAUAUAGUUUAAAAAAAACCUUACAUUUUCACUGUAAAAACAAACUUUGUUUUAUAAAUA
rnacentral:tRNA from 1 species